AGUUCCUGCUUAUCACUGAAUAGUGUUACUCAAUUUCUUGCCAGCCUGUGGAAUUAUUCAAAUAAGCCAAUCACAUCUUCCUGCUGGAACCAGGGAGCAUUCUGCCCUCUUGAGACUACAAUGCCUGUCUCCCACAGCCCUUGAUUGCUCCCUCUGUUCCUGAGUGCAAUCCCCAUGUGGCCCUGCAAGAUGUGUGAUGUCCUCCCCACAAGGCUAAGAAUCCCUGCCAUCUGGAUGUACACAGGACAAUCAAUUCAGAACGUCAAAAUGAGAUUAUCGUCCUACACGUGUGAUACUGCUUUAGCAACGCUACUUACAGAGCAUAGGACUUUAAUAUAUUUUCCAAACUAGAUUUAAAAAAGCAACUGUUUAACUGGAAGAAGAGGCCAUGGAAUUAAGAAGCAUACAUCUGUAACUUUCUGAGACACAGCAAAAGAAAACUCUAGUGAAGAGAAAUAUUUUUGAUUGCUGAGAAAAGGCUUUGGUGGGAUGAAUGUAUUCCUCUAAGCGGUGAUUACCUGUACAGAGAAGAGCUUCCCACAUACAAGCUGAUUCAGGGGAAUAGGACCAUUUCAACUGACUGGGAGACGGAACAGGCCUGGCUAUGGCUGAGUAAGGAACGCCUCUCAGCACGGAGCUUUCUCUCUAAGUGUGCAGUUACAUCUUACCCAUGUGGAAGAAGGAAGGACUUCUUACUCGUCUAGUGUUCAGAAGGGCCUCAUGAAUAGUAUGGCCUCAAAAGUUUCUUCUCUCCCCCUAGUUUUACUGAAAUAUAACUGACACCUAACACUAGAAGUUUAAGGUGUAAUGAUCUCAUGUCAAAAGUUUCUUGUAUGGGUGACUUACUUCUCAAGAUAAGUUUUUUUUUUUUUU